rnacentral:rRNA from 1 species
GAUGAACGCUGGCGGCGUGCCUAAUACAUGCAAGUCGAGCGAACGGACGAGAAGCUUGCUUCUCUGAUGUUAGCGGCGGACGGGUGAGUAACACGUGGAUAACCUACCUAUAAGACUGGGAUAACUUCGGGAAACCGUAGCUGAUACCGGAUAAUAUUUUGAACCGCAUGGUUCAAAAGUGAAAGACGGUCUUGCUGUCACUUAUAGAUGGAUCCGUGCUGCAUUAGCUAGUUGGUAAGGUAACGGCUUACCAAGGCAACGAUGCAUAGCCGACCUGAGAGGGUGAUCGGCCACACUGGAACUGAGACACGGUCCAGACUCCUACGGGAGGCAGCAGUAGGGAAUCUUCCGCAAUGGGCGAAAGCCUGACGGAGCAACGCCGCGUGAGUGAUGAAGGUCUUCGGAUCGUAAAACUCUGUUAUUAGGGAAGAACAUAUGUGUAAGUAACUGUGCACAUCUUGACGGUACCUAAUCAGAAAGCCACGGCUAACUACGUG